UACGGGGGGGGGCAAGCGUUGUUCGGAAUUACUGGGCGUAAAGGCUCGUAGGCGGCCAACUAAGUCAGACGUGAAAUCCCUCGGCUUAACCGGGGAACUGCAUCUGAUACUGGAUGGCUUGAGUUCGGGAGAGGGAUGCGGAAUUCCAGGUGUAGCGGUGAAAUGCGUAGAUAUUCGGAAGAACACCAGUGGCGAAGGCGACUUACUGGACACAUAUUGACGCUGAGGUGCGAAAGCGUGGG
rnacentral:rRNA from 1 species